GUAAACCAUAGCGAGCAAACCGUGGCGGUGUCGCAAGGCGUCGUCGCGGUUAAUAAGGAUAACCCUGGUAAUUCUGAGGCUAAUACAAGAACAUAACACCCACCCGACCCGCAAGGGAAGGGGGGCGAAUGUGUGACCAGGCACGCAAAUUCGAAACUGGGAGUGGCCACACGUUCAGACCGUCAUACAAAACAGUCGCCUGCUUCGAAAGUCCUCGUGACGAGUAACGGCGGGCUUCUGGGCGGCUCUCGCUGUGUGCUUCUGACCUAUCAACUAGAUGGCAGCGUAACGGACAUGCUAUGGU
rnacentral:rRNA from 1 species